AUGUAUGUCCUAGAACACAUUCAGCACAAGGUUCCAGAAGAAGUGCUAAAACAUGAGAAAUAUACCAGUCAACUUCAGAUGAGCUUUAAAGGCACAGCAAUGAAAAGAGCAGAGCAGCCAAUGGAGCAUGGUGGAAAUAUUGAAUUCCCCCAAGCCAAGCUGGA